rnacentral:misc_RNA from 1 species
CUUUGAUGAGAUCCAGAGCAAGACCUACAUGGAGGUGAAGGGCACCGGGACUGCAAACCAGUGUCCGACCAUCGAGGGUGGGACUGAGUCCUUCUCCUUCAAGGCCGGCAAGUACACCAUGAAGAAACUCUGCCUUGAGCCCACCUCCUUCACUGUCAAAGCUGAGGGCAUCAACAAGAACUCCCCUCCUGAUUUCCAGAAAACCAAGCUAAUGACACGCCUUACCUACACUCUUGAUGAGAUUGAG